rnacentral:rRNA from 1 species
UACGAAGGGGGCUAGCGUUGCUCGGAAUCACUGGGCGUAAAGGGUGCGUAGGCGGGUCUUUAAGUCAGGGGUGAAAUCCUGGAGCUCAACUCCAGAACUGCCUUUGAUACUGAAGAUCUUGAGUUCGGGAGAGGUGAGUGGAACUGCGAGUGUAGAGGUGAAAUUCGUAGAUAUUCGCAAGAACACCAGUGGCGAAGGCGGCUCACUGGCCCGAUACUGACGCUGAGGCACGAAGGCCAGGGGAGCAAACGGG